CCAAUAGCGUAUAUUAAAGUUGUUGCAGUUAAAAAGCUCGUAGUUGAAUUUCGGGAUCAGAUUGUUGGUCGUGCCUCGGUACGUACUGGCAUUAUUGGUUCCUACCUUCUGAAGAACCGCGAUGUCAUUAAUUUGGUGUCGUGGGGAAUCAGGACUGUUACUUUGAAAAAAUUAGAGUGUUUAAAGCAGGCGCACGCUUGAAUACAUUAGCAUGGAAUAAUGAAAUAGGACGUUUGAUUCCAUUUUGUUGGUUUCUAGGAUCGACGUAAUGAUUAAUAGGGAUAGUUGGGGGCAUUAGUAUUCAAUUGUCAGAGGUGAAAUUCUUGGAUUUAUUGAAGACUAACUACUGCGAAAGCAUUUGCCAAGGAUGUUUUCAUUAAUCAAGAACGAAAGUUAGGGGAUCGAAGACGAUCAGAUACCGUCGUAGUCUUAACCAUAAACUAUGCCGACUAGGGAUCGGAUGAUGUUAAUUUUAUAAUGACUCAUUCGGCGCCUUAC
rnacentral:rRNA from 1 species